GAGCAGAUAGUUCAGUUGGUAGAGCAUGAGACUCAUAAUCUCAGGGUUGUGGGUUCGAGCCCCGCAUUGGGUGAACUAUUCA